UACGGGAGGCAGCAGUGGGGAAUAUUGCACAAUGGGCGCAAGCCUGAUGCAGCCAUGCCGCGUGUAUGAAGAAGGCCUUCGGGCUGUAAAGUACUUUCAGUCGUGAGGAAGGUGUUAAGGUUAAUAACCUUAGCAAUUGACGUUAGCGACAGAAGAAGCACCGGCUAACUCCGUGCCAGCAGCCGCGGUAAUACGGAGGGUGCGAGCGUUAAUCGGAAUUACUGGGCGUAAAGGGCACGCAGGCGGUUAAUUAAGUUGGAUGUGAAAUCCCCGGGCUUAACCUGGGAAUGGCAUUCAAGACUGGUUAGCUAGAGUCUUGUAGAGGGGGUAGAAUUCCAUGUGUAGCGGUGAAAUGCGUAGAGAUGUGGAGGAAUACCGGUGGCGAAGGCGGCCCCUGGGCAAAGACUGACGCUCAUGUGCGAAAGCGUGGGGAGCAAACAGGGAUUAGGAUACC
rnacentral:rRNA from 1 species